ACUUCGGUGACCUCAGUGAUUAGAGCGUCCGCCUCGAAUGUGGAAGGUUGCGAGUUCGAACCCUGGCCGAAUCA